rnacentral:rRNA from 1 species
AGCAGCCCAGAGCCUGAAUCAGUGUGUGUGUUAGUGGAAGCGUCUGGAAAGGCGCGCGAUACAGGGUGACAGCCCCGUACACAAAAAUGCACAUGCUGUGAGCUCGAUGAGUAGGGCGGGACACGUGGUAUCCUGUCUGAAUAUGGGGGGACCAUCCUCCAAGGCUAAAUACUCCUGACUGACCGAUAGUGAACCAGUACCGUGAGGGAAAGGCGAAAAGAACCCCGGCGAGGGGAGUGAAAAAGAACCUGAAACCGUGUACGUACAAGCAGUGGGAGCACGCUUAGGCGUGUGACUGCGUACCUUUUGUAUAAUGGGUCAGCGACUUAUAUUCUGUAGCAAGGUUAACCGAAUAGGGGAGCCGAAGGGAAACCGAGUCUUAACUGGGCGUUAAGUUGCAGGGUAUAGACCCGAAACCCGGUGAUCUAGCCAUGGGCAGGUUGAAGGUUGGGUAACACUAACUGGAGGACCGAACCGACUAAUGUUGAAAAAUUAGCGGAUGACUUGUGGCUGGGGGUGAAAGGCCAAUCAAACCGGGAGAUAGCUGGUUCUCCCCGAAAGCUAUUUAGGUAGCGCCUCGUGAAUUCAUCUCCGGGGGUAGAGCACUGUUUCGGCAAGGGGGUCAUCCCGACUUACCAACCCGAUGCAAACUGCGAAUACCGGAGAAUGUUAUCACGGGAGACACACGGCGGGUGCUAACGUCCGUCGUGAAGAGGGAAACAACCCAGACCGCCAGCUAAGGUCCCAAAGUCAUGGUUAAGUGGGAAACGAUGUGGGAAGGCCCAGACAGCCAGGAUGUUGGCUUAGAAGCAGCCAUCAUUUAAAGAAAGCGUAAUAGCUCACUGGUCGAGUCGGCCUGCGCGGAAGAUGUAACGGGGCUAAACCAUGCACCGAAGCUGCGGCAGCGACGCUGAUGCGUUGUUGGGUAGGGGAGCGUUCUGUAAGCCUGUGAAGGUGUGCUGUGAGGCAUGCUGGAGGUAUCAGAAGUGCGAAUGCUGACAUAAGUAACGAUAAAGCGGGUGAAAAGCCCGCUCGCCGGAAGACCAAGGGUUCCUGUCCAACGUUAAUCGGGGCAGGGUGAGUCGACCCCUAAGGCGAGGCCGAAAGGCGUAGUCGAUGGGAAACAGGUUAAUAUUCCUGUACUUGGUGUUACUGCGAAGGGGGGACGGAGAAGGCUAUGUUGGCCGGGCGACGGUUGUCCCGGUUUAAGCGUGUAGGCUGGUUUUCCAGGCAAAUCCGGAAAAUCAAGGCUGAGGCGUGAUGACGAGGCACUACGGUGCUGAAGCAACAAAUGCCCUGCUUCCAGGAAAAGCCUCUAAGCAUCAGGUAACAUCAAAUCGUACCCCAAACCGACACAGGUGGUCAGGUAGAGAAUACCAAGGCGCUUGAGAGAACUCGGGUGAAGGAACUAGGCAAAAUGGUGCCGUAACUUCGGGAGAAGG